ensembl:lncRNA
ACAUGAAUUAACCAUAGCUAUACAUUUGUCUCCUUCCUCUUGAAUCUCCCUCCCACCUCCUGCCUAUUCCCACUACUCUAGGUUAUUACAGAGUCCUAGUUUGAGUUCUCCAAGUCAUACAGAAAAUUCCCGUUGACUAUCUAUUUACGUAUGUAGUCAUGAACAGAGGAGCUUGGCAGGCUAUGGUCCAUAGGGUUGAAAAGAGUCAGACACAACUGAAGCAGCUUAGCACAGCACAUGGUUAAAAUGGUCCUUUAAAAAAUAAUCAUGGAGUUUCAGCAGAAGUAAUACACUAAUACAGUAGGUUUCAGAUACCCCACGUUAAAAAGUGAGAUGUGAACCACCUGUGCAGAAUGCAUGACCUGAUACAGAAACGGGUCAGCGUGACCACACCUGGUGAGCAUUGGAGAGAUGAGAACAUUGAAAAGGUGAGUUGCUUCUCACCUACUAAAGUGAGACAAGGAAUUUCAGAAGAUCUUCUUGGAGGACUUGAUAUUUAUCCCCUGGAGUCUGCUGAACUCAGAGUGGAGGCCUGUUUCUUUCCAGGAGAAAUCCUGAGGAAAAAAAAAAAAAGAAAGAAACCAGUUCUUGGAAUCCAGCCACCACGCUGAGAGGAAGCCUGAGCAGCCGUGUGGAGAGGAACUAAGGUCCCUGACUGAGAGCCCUGGGCAAGCUCCCAGCCUGAAGCCAGCGUUAGUUGACCAGCUGUUAGUGAGUCACCUGGGAAGUGAAUACCACCAGUCCACUGAUGCCGUGUGGAGCAUAGAGAUCUUAAAAUUGUAUUGAUCUCAAGCUCCUCAAAGCCUGGAUCUACCCCUGGUUUUUUGCACUUUCCAUUACUGGCUGGUGGGAGGUGACAUUUCCAGAUAAUGCAUUCAGUCUGGCUACAAGUGAAACUUAAAUUAUUUUGGGUUAUUUGGACAACCAGAAUUAAUUUGCAGUGACCCCUUGGCUGCAACCGCCUGCUCACCUCUCCACAUCCUGUUAGCCCUUGGUCAUCUUCCAAAACUCAACGGUGACAUCUUUUCUCCGGAAAGCAUACUCGAAAAUCCAAUGUGAAGUAAUCCUCUUUUAUGCUCCAUCACAUCCUGUGCAAACCUCUAUAUAUUGAAAUUUUAUUGACAGUUUUGUGUCUCUAUUUCACUAGGCUAUAAAGUUUUUUGAGAAAAGGACUAUUUUGUAUUCAUCUUAGUUCCCUCAACAUGAAGCCCAGUGCCUUCCAUUUGGUAAAUGAUUUAAAAUGCUCAUUAAAUUGUUUUUGGGUUAAACUGAUACACUUAACAGUUUUAUGUAAGAUUUCCUUUGGCUGAAAGUUUUAGGUAAUUGGCCAGGUUAUGGAAAAAACUGUGGAAGGAUUCUUAAUUUAGAUACUCUCUGUGUCACUUAUAGGUUGGAAGCAGGUUUUAGGAGCAAAUGGUGUGUUAAGGUCCAAAGGGACAGAUAGACCAAUGGUUCAGCUUAGUUUUUAGGAUACUGGCUAGAAGUUUCUGGGAACUGCUAGCAUUGCCAGAUUUAUAGGAUUGUUGUUAUCAUGUAGUAACAUGUACUAUGAAUGCAUUUUGAUAAUUAGAAAUAUAGAUACCUUUAUGUGUAAAUUAUCAGUAAUAAUUAAUGCUCAUCAGAUUAAGAAAUUCACUGCCUAUGAGGCCCUUCCAAUUCUAGACCUCACCCCUAUAAACAAAUUAGAAUAAAAUUUUUUUUAACUUUCCCAUACCUGACAAAUUAGACUGUUACUUGGUCGUGUUGGUUGUCUGUAACUGCAAAAACUGAACCCAUCAUCUGACCAUCUGAAUUGCUUUUGAAAAAAGCCCAAACACUUUGCAUUAACAUGCUCUCUUGGUCAUUUUAGUCAAUUUCCUGAGAGUCUAAGAAUCCAAAGAAAGAAACGAAAAAGUCAUUUCUCUGAAGAAACACGAGGUUAACAUGAAAUGCACAAUACUUCAAUUGUCUCUUCUCUCUGCUAAAUACGUCAUCCUGAAUGGAUCCAUUGGCUGUGAGGAGGUGUAUGCACAUUACAAAUCUUUUUUUUUUUUUUAAUGUAAUUUAAUACUCUCCACGGAUCCAUUUUUCUGAAAUGGGGUAAUAUGCUUCUUUUUAGGCAAAUGUGUUUGCUCUUCUGAUUUUCCAUUCAUUUGGUGGGUUUUGGCACCAAAAUUCUGAGCAGCUGGACCUCUAAUUUAAGGAACCUAUAAUGCACACAUUCCUGGAAAUGAAGCAUUUUGUGUUUAGAAAGAAGUGGAUUUAUUUGACAUUCAAGAGUUUCUGGUUUGUUUAGAGAGACUGACGUAAGGACACCAAGAAGGAACAAAUCAUAAAGUUUAGGGAUAAAAAGGAUUUUAUAGCUUAAGGAUACCUGCAGUAUAUUAUCUUGUCCCAUUUUUAAUUCACUAAUUCAAGAAAUACUAGAUGAAUACCUGCUAUUUGCCAGGCAUACUACUAGAU